ensembl:lncRNA
AGAUGCUUCUUUUAAAAACUUACUGACUCCAGAUUUUUAAAUGGUAUAGUAUAUCAUUUUCAUUUUACAGCUCUGUAUGUUAACAGUUUGCUCACUUAUGUCUGUUGUCAUUUCUCCAAAAGAAUUUUAGAGGAAACAUCUGAAAUGGCAAAUAAUUUGAACGAGGUAGCAAUACAACUUUCCUGUAGUCUGGUGGAGUGAAUUGUGUGUGCAGAUGUACCUGACGCAGCACGGUACGCCGGAGCACUCUGAAUUUCUGUGACUGUGGUCGGCUGCAUUACUGAAGGAGCUGGAAGUGGGUUUGUGGCUUUUGUUCUGUUUACAGCCAUCAGUGCUUUUGUGAUUGUUUGUACUUAGAGAAGGGUGGAGUGUACGGUAAAUGCCUCCUGUUGGCCAGCCGCACAGCAGGGAGCGCUGGCCACAGAAACCCUGGAGAUGUGCAAGUCAAGAUGAGGGUCAGGGGUCAGUAGCAGUUUCUCAUUCUAUUUCUUCAAAGCAACAGGCAGCAG